GUAUUUUUGUGUUGCAUCACAAAUCUUCUAAUACAUCAGUCAGAAAACAUUCCAAAUUUUUUAGUAGGAGAUAGAAACAUGUUAGUGUUGUUGGUUUCAAGAUUCAUUGAGUUCUAUAACUACGACAUGGUCAUGGAAUCUGCUUCAUCUCACACAUCAAAACUUGUAUUUUCCUAUUUCAUUUCCUAGAAGAUGGUUGAGCUUUUGUUUUCCCCUCAAAUAGUGAUGCAGAACCCAGAAUCAAUUAUGUAAUCCAUAACUCACACAAUACUCAUAAAGCAUCAAACACUUAAAUUCUAAUAAAUCCUCCUUACUUAACUUGCUCUUAAUAAAGUGAUAGUAACUACAGUAAUCAGGAAAUUAAAAGAGUUAUAAAAACGUUACAAGUAUACCUUGAUAAGUUGAUCCAAUUUCUUGUUCAACAAGAAAAUUGAAAACACUUCACUAGUUGAAAAUAACUUUGUAAUUUUAUUAUCUCAAACUUCAAUGAUUAUAAUUAGGAAUUGAAAAUCUAUUUAUUGAGUAAAUAAUGUGAAAUACAAGAAAAUAAAUCUCCUAAAUUAAUUGUAAAAGUUAUAUGAAAAAUUAAAUCUUGUCUUAAAUAAAUUUUUUUUUUUUUUUUUUUUUGACUAAAUAAACUAUAUAGCAUCUUCCCUUUCGAAAACUUUUUAAAUGAGGAAGAUUUUAAUUGAUUGUAGAAGAAUUAGGGGGAGAAUAAAUGGAAGUUUAACGCUGGUCAUUAAAGGAGCAUUAUGGCAAUCCGAAUCUUUCAUUUUCCGCCAAGAUAUGGUUCUUUAAAGAGUCUUCCAUUUUCUUAAGAUAUUUUACGGUUUUAAGAGAUAUCUUCCCUUUUGGCCAUGGGAAUUUUCACUUUUCACAUCUUAGAAGAUGUCUCCUUUAUGGCCAAAUUCCCUUGCCUUUUUUUGCUUGAUUUCCUCCUCCACUUGGAUUGAAUUGUAGGGACCAUUAUACCCUUAGGUGAAUGGGCUUGUUUUCUUUUUCUCUUGGGCUUCUUCACUUGAUCCGAAUCCAUCCUCCUCAUUGAUCAAUUCUUGGAUAAAAAGUUGAAAGGAUUGUUGUAGCCUUUUUGCUCUCCCUCUUGUAAUGUGUCCACUUGGCAUGGUGAUACUUUUCCCAAGUGACCCAAAUCCAUCCAAGUUGUGCAAAUCUCCCUUGAGUCUUCCUUGUUCGUCGUCCUCUCCAUUGUGUUGGGUUUUACUACAGGUUGAAUUUCUCUUGGUCAUCCAUCUCUUCAUGGACCAUGCUCACAUCAAAUAGGUUCGAAUAAAUUGGAAUCAUAUAAGAUAAUUCUUCUCGUUC
rnacentral:lncRNA from 1 species